rnacentral:rRNA from 1 species
GCAGUAGCCGCGGGAAUACGGAGGGAGCUAGCGUUGUUCGGAAUUACUGGGCGUAAAGCGCGCGUAGGCGGUUACUCAAGUCAGAGGUGAAAGCCCGGGGCUCAACCCCGGAACUGCCUUUGAAACUAGGUGACUAGAAUCUUGGAGAGGUCAGUGGAAUUCCGAGUGUAGAGGUGAAAUUCGUAGAUAUUCGGAAGAACACCAGUGGCGAAGGCGACUGACUGGACAAGUAUUGACGCUGAGGUGCGAAAGCGUGGGGAGCAAACAGGAUUAGAUACCCGGGUAGUCCCUGUCUCUUAUAC